rnacentral:rRNA from 1 species
UACGAAGGGGGCGAGCGUUGUUCGGAAUUACUGGGCGUAAAGGGCGCGUAGGCGGCGACUCAAGUUAGAUGUGAAAGUCCUGGGCUUAACCUGGGGACUGCAUUUGAUACUGGGUUGCUUGAAUUCGGGAGAGGAUAGCGGAAUUCCCAGUGUAGAGGUGAAAUUCGUAGAUAUUGGGAAGAACACCGGUGGCGAAGGCGGCUAUCUGGACCGACAUUGACGCUGAGGCGCGAAAGCAUGGGGAGCAAACAGG